rnacentral:rRNA from 1 species
UAACAAGGAUUCCCCUAGUAACGGCGAGUGAAGCGGGAUGAGCUCAAAUUUAAAAUCUGGCAGUCUUUGAUUGUCCGAGUUGUAAUCUAGAGAAGCGUUUUCCGCGCUGGACUGUGUACAAGUUUCCUGGAUACGGAACAUCAUAGAGGGUGAGAAUCCCGUCCUUGACACAGACUCCCAGUGCUCUGCGAUGCGCUCUCGACGAGUCGAGUUGUUUGGGAUUGCAGCUCAAAAUGGGAGGUAAAUUCCUUCUAAAGCUAAAUAUUGGCGAGAGACCGAUAGCGAACAAGUACCGUGAGGGAAAGAUGAAAAGCACUUUGGAAAGAGAGUUAAACAGUACGUGAAAUUGUUAAAAGGGAAACGAUUGAAGUCAGUCGCGUUUGCUUGGACUCAGCCUUACUUCGGUAUGGUGCAUUUCCUUGCGAACGGGCCAGCGUCCAUGUUGUCCGUCGGAAAAGGUGCGUGGGAAUGUGGCUUCUUCGGGAGUGUUAUAGCCCAUGUUCGUAUACGGCGUGUGAUAUGGAGUGGUACAGCAUGCUUCGGCGGUGCUUGUGCUGGCAU